ensembl:lincRNA Gm12082 predicted gene 12082
CCUCAUCUUCUCUAUGAAGUUAGCAACUUGACUUAAUAACAUUCCAGUGAUGUAGAAUGCUACUCCUCUCCUCCCCUCCUCACAAAACCAUCUCUAAACUCCUGAACUACUGCCCACAAAGUCCCCAAUGGUCUUUCACAGUGCUGGGCUGGUUGGUGGAUUAUAUUGAUGGAUUUUUGUAUACUGAACCAUCCCUACAUCCCUGGGAAGAAGUCUACUAGUUCAUGAUGCAUUCAUCAACUUAUGAGGUUCCAAGCAGUUGAUGUAAGGUGGAAAGUCUUAAGUUGUAUGAAAUGAUUCAGCCAUCCACAUCACAGAACUACAGCUGGGCCACACUCUGAGGCUGGAGAAAGUGAUUCCAGCAAUCAAGAUGGAUUUUUUUCAGCUCUCAUUCUCUGAACAGAUGCUCUACAAACAUAUAAACAUCUCUUCUAUAAACAGACAGUACUUCUGUGGAAAUUGGGAGGAAGAAUUUAAUUACAGCUUGGAGCCAACCCUGUGCACCACAAGGAGUACUGCCUGCAUUUGCAAAAUGCACAUUCUUCUCCCAUACACUCUGCUACAAAAUGUCUCAUUUGGCCAACAGACAGCAAGCACAUG